UACAGAGGGUGCAAGCGUUGUUCGGAUUUAUUGGGCGUAAAGAGCGUGUAGGCGGCCAAACAGGUCAGCUGUGAAAACUCGAGGCUCAACCUCGAGACGUCGGUUGAAACCGUUUGGCUAGAGUCCGGAAGAGGAGAGUGGAAUUCCCGGUGUAGCGGUGAAAUGCGCAGAUAUCGGGAAGAACACCCGUGGCGAAGGCGGCUCUCUGGGACGGUACUGACGCUGAGACGCGAAAGCGUGGGGAGCAAACAGG
rnacentral:rRNA from 1 species